rnacentral:rRNA from 2 species
GUGCGAGACCGAUAGCGAACAAGUACCGUGAGGGAAAGAUGAAAAGAACUUUGAAAAGAGAGUUAAAGAGUACCUGAAACUGCUGAAAGGGAACCGAGUCGUAUCUAGUGUCUAUAAUCCGUGGCAUAUUACAUUGCCGUGCUGGUGCGUGCAGUAUUUUGGAAGUGGUUUUUGCUGCUCUGGGUGCUGUUGUGCGUUGGCUUGGUGGUGCUCUGUGUCGUGGUGGGACGUCAGAGUCAGUUCGUAAAUUGCGAGAAAUGGCUGUUGGGAAGGUAGGCCGCUUCGGUGGCUGUUUAUAGCCUGACGUGCUAGUAGUCGUGGUUGAGACUGAGGUGCCUAC